rnacentral:rRNA from 1 species
AAUCAACGCUAGCGGCGUGCCUCAGACAUGCAAGUCGAACGAUUAAAGCUCCCUUCGGGGAGUGCAUAGAGUGGCGCACGGGUGAGUAACACGUAAGUAAUCUACCUUUGAGUGGGGAUAACGUUCGGAACGGACGCUAAUACCGCAUAAUGCAGCGGCAUCGCAAGAUGACAGUUGUUAAGGAGCAAUCCGCUUAAAGAGGAGCUUGCGGCAGAUUAGCUUGUUGGUAAGGUAACGGCUUACCAAGGCUACGAUCUGUAUCCGGUCUAAGAGGACGGUCGGACACACUGACACUGAAUAACGGGUCAGACUCCUACGGGAGGCAGCAGUCGGGAAUUUUGGGCAAUGGGCGAAAGCCUGACCCAGCAACGCCGCGUGAAGGAUGAAGUA